GGGCAGGUAGAAGGUGGUCGCCCGCCAGCGCUUUGUGGCGGGAGGAAAGUCCGGGCUCCGGAGGAUAGCGUAAUGGCUAAUAACCAUCCUGCGUAUGUAAUGUAUGCAGAGGAUUUCCGCCACAAAUCGUGGCGGACCCGCCAAUAUUUUUGGCGGGAGAGCCACAGAGACGAGCCCCACACCCAGAAUUCGUUUUCAAUAGAGACUUCUGGGUGUGGGGGGUGAAACGAGGCAAUCUCUACGUGGAGUAAGGUAAAAUAGGAGACGAGUGCUGAUCCGGCGCGUUAAAAGUCUCGGGUAAGCUGCUUGAGUCCUGGCGGUAACGCCAGAAUCGAGAGGAAUGGCCACACAGAUACGGAUAAUCGUAUCAAGACAGAACUCGGCUUAUUCUGCCUGCCCAUUU
rnacentral:RNase_P_RNA from 1 species